rnacentral:rRNA from 1 species
AGGAUAGGUGGGAGGCUUUGAAGUAAUCACGCCAGUGGUUAUGGAGCCGACCUUGAAAUACCACCCUUGUAUGUUUGAUGUUCUAACUUGGUCCCCUUAUCGGGGAUGAGGACAGUGCCUGGUGGGUAGUUUGACUGGGGCGGUCUCCUCCCAAAGAGUAACGGAGGAGCACGAAGGUGGGCUAAUCACGGUUGGACAUCGUGAGGUUAGUGUAAUGGCACAAGCCCGCUUGACUGCGAGAGUGACGGCUCGAGCAGGUGCGAAAGCAGGUCAUAGUGAUCCGGUGGCUCUGAAUGGAAGGGCCAUCGCUCAACGGAUAAAAGGUACUCCGGGGAUAACAGGCUGAUACCGCCCAAGAGUUCAUAUCGACGGCGGUGUUUGGCACCUCGAUGUCGGCUCAUCUCAUCCUGGGGCUGUAGCCGGUCCCAAGGGUAUGGCUGUUCGCCAUUUAAAGAGGUACGUGAGCUGGGUUUAAAACGUCGUGAGACAGUUUGGUCCCUAUCU